GAGUGGCGAACUGGUGAGUAACACGUGGGAAACCUGCCCAGAAGCGGGGGAUAACACCUGGAAACAGAUGCUAAUACCGCAUAACAACUUGGACCGCAUGGUCCGAGUUUGAAAGAUGGCUUCGGCUAUCACUUUUGGAUGGUCCCGCGGCGUAUUAGCUAGAUGGUGGGGUAACGGCUCACCAUGGCAAUGAUACGUAGCCGACCUGAGAGGGUAAUCGGCCACAUUGGGACUGAGACACGGCCCAAACUCCUACGGGAGGCAGCAGUAGGGAAUCUUCCACAAUGGACGAAAGUCUGAUGGAGCAACGCCGCGUGAGUGAAGAAGGGUUUCGGCUCGUAAAACUCUGUUGUUAAAGAAGAACAUAUCUGAGAGUAACUGUUCAGGUAUUGACGGUAUUUAACCAGAAAGCCACGGCUAACUACGUGCCAGCAGCCGCGGUAAUACGUAGGUGGCAAGCGUUGUCCGGAUUUAUUGGGCGUAAAGCGAGCGCAGGCGGUUUUUUAAGUCUGAUGUGAAAGCCUUCGGCUCAACCGAAGAAGUGCAUCGGAAACUGGGAAACUUGAGUGCAGAAGAGGACAGUGGAACUCCAUGUGUAGCGGUGAAAUGCGUAGAUAUAUGGAAGAACACCAGUGGCGAAGGCGGCUGUCUGGUCUGUAACUGACGCUGAGGCUCGAAAGUAUGGGUAGCAAACAGGAUUAGAUACCCUGGUAGUCCAUACCGUAAACGAUGAAUGCUAAGUGUUGGAGGGUUUCCGCCCUUCAGUGCUGCAGCUAACGCAUUAAGCAUUCCGCCUGGGGAGUACGGCCGCAAGGCUGAAACUCAAAGGAAUUGACGGGGGCCCGCACAAGCGGUGGAGCAUGUGGUUUAAUUCGAAGCUACGCGAAGAACCUUACCAGGUCUUGACAUACUAUGCAAAUCUAAGAGAUUAGACGUUCCCUUCGGGGACAUGGAUACAGGUGGUGCAUGGUUGUCGUCAGCUCGUGUCGUGAGAUGUUGGGUUAAGUCCCGCAACGAGCGCAACCCUUAUUAUCAGUUGCCAGCAUUAAGUUGGGCACUCUGGUGAGACUGCCGGUGACAAACCGGAGGAAGGUGGGGAUGACGUCAAAUCAUCAUGCCCCUUAUGACCUGGGCUACACACGUGCUACAAUGGAUGGUACAACGAGUUGCGAACUCGCGAGAGUAAGCUAAUCUCUUAAAGCCAUUCUCAGUUCGGAUUGUAGGCUGCAACUCGCCUACAUGAAGUCGGAAUCGCUAGUAAUCGCGGAUCAGCAUGCCGCGGUGAAUACGUUCCCGGGCCUUGUACACACCGCCCGUCACACCAUGAGAGUUUGUAACACCCAAAGUCGGUGGGGUAACCUUUUAGGAACCAGCC
rnacentral:rRNA from 1 species